ACUCGAUGGAAUCAAGUCCACCACCAUCAAAGCUUUCACCUGAAUCUGGCGCGGGCAGGACUGGAGGACCAAGUGCUAGCUAGCACUUGCAGAAAUUCCUGCACUGAAAAAGAGCUCUUAGCAGAGUGCUAUCAAUUCUGUUUUGCGCAUGCGCAGUGGUUAAUCUCCAACCGCGUGGAACAGCGCCGCCAAAAGAGUGACGCUGAGAGAGGAGGACAUGACGGUGGAAAAGAUUUCUAAAAUAUUUCAGGUAACCAGCCAGAGCCUGUACCUCACUGACGAUACCAAUGUGGCAGUUUUCCCUGGAGCAGAGGGCCACUUCAGUUCAUUCGACCUCAGGGACAAGGCCCAUUACGAAGUACGCAGGGCCGGGGCUGUGCUGGAUGCAGGUGUUAACGUUGCUGCGGGCCCACUACCUACUCCUUCCACGAGCGGCCAGUUUCGCUUCUCCAGGUCGGCUAGCUCAGCAAGCCACUCAGGGAUCAAUCCCUGAAAUACUUUACAAGGACUGUCAGUCUGGGAGAGGUACAGAGUGGAAAGCUUGUGAACAGCAGAAUGGUGGUUGUAAGAUUUACGGAGCAGGAGGCCAGUGUCCCAUCCAUGAUUGACAAAGUAAAAGAUGCCUUAGGAAGCAAUGAACAACUCAUCCUGACAGACCACAAUGGAGUGGAAAUAUUGGACUCAGAAGGAACAAGAGGCACCUUUUAUUGGAAGCAGAACUCGCGAAAAAUCAUGGCUGUACCAGAGGUUGAUUUCCAAGCUGUGCAACAAAAGAGGCGAAGAAUCUCACGCAGAGAUGAUGAGGGUGGACUGGACAGUGUGUUCGAGAAGAUCGAGGGGCUUGUCCUGGCUGCUCAGGGUUUGUCUGAGGUGACAACUAUCAUUCAGGGACUCUCUGACCUGGUCCAUCGAAAGAGGAACACAACAUUGGUACUGACCGAAGAACAGUCAGUGAAUGUUAGGGAUACAUUCACUUGUCUGGUUUGCAGAGGUAAGUCUUGUCCUUACAAAUAAUGUAUUUACCCUGACAAACAUAUUGUUGUUUUUUGGUGGAAUUUAUGAUGUAGUGGUCAUUUAAAAGCUUAAGUGUCCUUGUGGUGGCAAAUUUUAUUUUAACUAAAAAAUUUUAAAUAAAAAUGUACCCUGGAGAAAUCCUUCUUUCUUUGAGAGAGGACAGCCAGAGGAGGAGAGACACACACACACACACACACACACAGAGAUAAGACACAAGCUAAAACCAAACAUGAGUAGUACAGUAGUACAAGUGAAAUUUUGGUUUAAAGAAAUGAUUUUGAUAUACAUUUUUGUUGAAUGUUAUAUGAUAUGAUGCUUCCCAUAACAGGUAACGAUUUGGAUAAAUAGAAGGCUAAAAACUUUAAUUUGUAAUGAUUCUUGGAACUAGCAGAUGGUAAUUAGUGUUACU